rnacentral:lncRNA from 1 species
GUCCUCAUCAUGAGUGCGAGCCUAUGGAUGUAGAUGGUACCAGUGUGGGGACUUGUUUCCUAAUGUCACGUAGGACAGAAGACUGCAUUUUCCAGCCUCUCCCUGGCUGGGUGUGGCUGUGUGUUUAGUUCCAGGCAUUGGGCAGGGAAAAGAAGUGAUGUGUGCACCCUCAGGCCAAAGCACUCUGCAGGAAAAUAGAGUUUUAACCCCUGCCAUUGUUCAGCUCAUUUUCUCAGAGGUCACAGCCCAUUCUGCGGGUGUCAAUACCAUGGUCCAUUUGUUUUUAAAAGCCACUAAUUUUUGGAUUCAAAACAUUGCUUCUAGAAUCCCGAUGAUCGGCUGGUUCAUUUGUGUGACUUUAUUGAACAUUUGACAAGAACAUUGAUAAUAAAUGAGGGCUCCUGUUCCAGUGGCCUCACUGCUUUCUAAUAGCCUUCACUGGCUUACUGGCUGUACCACAUUUCUGGUGCUCAAUGAUGAA